rnacentral:rRNA from 1 species
GACGAACGCUGGCGGCGUGCUUAACACAUGCAAGUCGAACGGAAAGGCCCUGCUUUUGUGGGGUGCUCGAGUGGCGAACGGGUGAGUAACACGUGAGUAACCUGCCCUUGACUUUGGGAUAACUUCAGGAAACUGGGGCUAAUACCGGAUAGGAGCUCCUGCUGCAUGGUGGGGGUUGGAAAGUUUCGGCGGUUGGGGAUGGACUCGCGGCUUAUCAGCUUGUUGGCGGGGUAGUGGCUUACCAAGGCUUUGACGGGUAGCCGGCCUGAGAGGGUGACCGGCCACAUUGGGACUGAGAUACGGCCCGGACUCCUACGGGAGGCAGCAGUGGGGAAUAUUGCACAAUGGGCGGAAGCCUGAUGCAGCAACGCCGCGUGCGGGAUGACGGCCUUCGGGUUGUAAACCGCUUUCGCCUGUGACGAAGCGUGAGUGACGGUAAUGGGUAAAGAAGCACCGGCUAACUACGUG